UAGAUGUUUUGUAAUAAUUUAGAUAAGACAGGCUUUGGAAUAUUAGAACAUUGUUGUUCAAUCCAAUUUUUCUUUACCUCAUUUUAUAUUGAUUUAUUCAUAAAAUUAUACUUCAUUCUCCUUGGUAGUAUGUAUGCCCUAGUCAGGUUAUUGGGGAGGAAAGUCCAGAUAGAAUGAUGGAAUUAUUGAAAAACUGAUGAUUUAUCUGGGAAAACUGUCCAUUCUCCUUAAUUCAUUCACUAUUUCUUCUAGUUCACCCAUCAAAGAUGUUGGGAAAGGGAUACCGGACAUCAUUAAGUUAACUCUCCUCUUGAGGCAUUUUCUCCAUCAAGAGAGAAUGAAAUUGACAAGAACAGACGGCCUCAGUUCAAAUAGGAGCAGUAACCACAUGGUGCUCUGUCAAGAUAGUAACUUGUUCUUCCUCUCCUCUGGCUGGAAACACAAGGGUCAAGGUACCUGGAGUGAGUUUCCUAGCAUGAGACCAGAAGCGAGGACUUUAGUCAUGAGGACAGAAUAACAGCUAGAAGAAUGGAUCAAUGGAGUCAAUAAUAUUGUGAGACCAGGAGGGCAGGAUGAUCUUUCCUGGACUACCCCUCUGGGCAGCAAAGGCAAAAUGGAAAA
rnacentral:lncRNA from 1 species